GAAAUGUCUAGUACUGAAGAUACCUAAGAUUUUCAAAAUCUGAGUGUAUUUUUCUGCCAGAUACCACAAUAGAACAAAGAGAGUAAUCUCUGACCUUGCCGUGUGCUGACUUUUAGGAAUACCACAUUGUGAAGAAGUCUACCCGCUCCUUAAGCACGACUCAGGUGGAAUCUCCUUGGAGGCUCAUUCGGCCAUCCGUCAUCUCGAUCAUUGGGUUGUACAAAGAAAAAGGCAAGGGCCUUGGCUUUAGUAUUGCUGGAGGUCGAGACUGCAUUCGUGGACAGAUGGGGAUUUUUGUCAAAACCAUCUUCCCAAAUGGAUCAGCUGCAGAGGACGGAAGACUUAAAGAAGGGGAUGAAAUCCUAGAUGUAAAUGGAAUACCAAUAAAGGGCUUGACGUUUCAAGAAGCCAUUCAUACCUUUAAGCAAAUCCGGAGUGGAUUAUUUGUCUUAACGGUACGCACAAAGUUGGUGAGCCCCAGCCUCACACCCUGCUCG
rnacentral:sRNA from 1 species